GCCACCGGAGCGGGGCAGCCUGUCUGCAGUGCCUGAGGCAUCUCCAGCCGCAGCGGGGCUCCAGUCUCAGCCUGGGGGACCAGGCGUCACUGACCCUUUUGAUCCCUACUCAGGUGCUCAGCUGCCCCAGGGAGCCACCGCUGGAGCCGAGGCCAUGCCCCACUGGAGCAGAAGUGAUUGCAGCCAGUCCCCAGAUGGAGGAGUCCCUGCAGAGCUCAGUCCCUCCUUGCAGAAGACAUUGUAGUCAAAGACCUAAUGAUCUUGAACAGGCUUCCUCCCAGGAGAAGGAACCUGAACAUCCUAGGGUGCUUUGAAGGUGUACCAGCCCUAGCCUAGAUAAAAAAACUGGGAGUAACUGGAAACACCACCACACUGGCCAGACCAACAGUGUCUUCUGCCUGGAGAACCUACAAACAGGAUCAACAGCAUCUAGUGAUGUAGCCGUCAACUGUGGCAUAAUCAGGCUCACCUGAAA